rnacentral:tRNA from 1 species
AAUAGUGAGGGCUAAAUGAGUGAAUUUGCAAAAUUCUUUUCUUACAGAGAUAUAAUCCUGUUU